rnacentral:rRNA from 1 species
GGUUACUGCUAUCGAGGUUCGACUAAGCCAUGCGAGUCGAAUGUAGCAAUACAUGGCGUACUGCUCAGUAACACGUGGACAACCUACCCUCCGGACGGGUAUAAACCCGGGAAACUGGGUAUAAUCCCCGAUAGAUCUCGGUCGCUGGAAUGCCCCGAGAUCGAAAGCUCCGGCGCCAGAGGAUGGGUCUGCGGCCUAUCAGGUAGUAGUGGGUGUAGCGUACCUACUAGCCUACGACGGGUACGGGUUGUGAGAGCAAGAGCCCGGAGAUGGAUUCUGAGACACGAAUCCAGGCCCUACGGGGUGCAGCAGGCGCGAAAACUUUACAAUGCCGGCAGCGGCGAUAAGGGGACCUCGAGUGCCAGGUUACAAAUCUGGCUGUCGUGAUGCCUAAAAAGCAUUGCAUAGCAAGGGCCGGGCAAGACCGGUGCCAGCCGCCGCGGUAACACCGGCGGCUCGAGUGGUAACCGUUAUUAUUGGGUCUAAAGGGUCUGUAGCCGGCCGGAUAAGUCUCUUGAGAAAUCCAGCAGCUCAAUGUUGGGCUUUCAGGAGAUACUGUUCGGCUCGAGGCCGGGAGAGGUGAGAGGUA